UCUCCGUAGGUGAACCUGCGGAGGGAUCAUUAACGAGUUCCCCUUAAACGGGUAGAAGUCCCACCCUAUGUUAUCAUUACCUUUGUUGCUUUGGCGGGCCGUCGCGGCCUCGGUCAAGCUACCGGCCCCGGCUGGUAAGCGCCCGCCAGAGGACCCCAAACUCUGAAUAUUAGUGUCGUCUGAGUACUAUAUAAUAGUUAAAACUUUCAACAACGGAUCUCUUGGUUCUG
rnacentral:misc_RNA from 1 species